UGGGAAUAUUGGACAAUGGGGGCAACCCUGAUCCAGCCAUGCCGCGUGAGUGAUGAAGGCCUUAGGGUUGUAAAGCUCUUUCACCCGGGACGAUAAAUGACGGUACCGGGAGAAGAAGCCCCGGCUAACUUCGUGCCAGCAGCCGCGGUAAUACGAAGGGGGCUAGCGUUGUUCGGAAUCACUGGGCGUAAAGCGCACGUAGGCGGACCGUUAAGUCGGAGGUGAAAUCCUGGGGCUCAACCCCCAGAACUGCCUUCGAUACUGGCGGUCUCGAGUCCGGAAGAGGUGAGUGGAACUGCCAGUGUAGAGGUGAAAUUCGUAGAUAUUGGCAAGAACAACCNGUGGCGAAGGCGGCUCACUGGUCCGGUACUGACGCUGAGGUGCGAAAAGCGUGGGGAGCAAAACAGGAUUAGAUACCCUGGUAGUCCACGCCGUAAAACGAUGAAUGCCAGCCGUCGGGCAGCAUGCUGUUCGGUGGCGCAGCUAAC
rnacentral:rRNA from 1 species